AACGUACGCUGGCGGCACGCCUAACACAUGCAAGUCGAACGAAGUAGCAAUACUUAGUGGCAGACGGGUGAGUAACAUGUAGGUGUCUGCCCUUUGGCCUGGAAUAACACGAGGAAACUUGUGCUAAUACCGGAUAAGUCUUUACGGAGAAAGCUUUAUGCACCAUUGGAUGAGCCUGCACUUGAUUAGUUUGUUGGUGGGGUAAUGGCCUACCAAGACUGUGAUCAAUAGCUGAUUUGAGAGGAUGAUCAGCCACAUUGGGACUGAGACACGGCCCAAACUCCUACGGGAGGCAGCAGUGGGGAAUCUUGCACAAUGGAGGAAACUCUGAUGCAGCGAUGCCGCGUGAGUGAAGAAGGCCCUUGGGUUGUAAAGCUCUUUCGUCGGGGAAGAAAAUGACUGUACCCGAAUAAGAAGGUCCGGCUAACUUCGUGCCAGCAGCCGCGGUAAUACGAAGGGACCUAGCGUAGUUCGGAAUUACUGGGCUUAAAGAGUUCGUAGGUGGUUGAAAAAGUCAGUGGUGAAAUCCCAGAGCUUAACUCUGGAACUGCCAUUAAAACUUUUCAGCUAGAGUAUGAUAGAGGAAAGCAGAAUUUCUAGUGUAGAGGUGAAAUUCGUAGAUAUUAGAAAGAAUACCAAUUGCGAAGGCAGCUUUCUGGAUCAUUACUGACACUGAGGAACGAAAGCAUGGGUAGCGAAGAGGAUUAGAUACCCUCGUAGUCCAUGCCGUAAACGAUGUGUGUUAGACGUUGGAAAUUUAUUUUCAGUGUCGCAGGGAAACCGAUAAACACACCGCCUGGGGAGUACGACCGCAAGGUUAAAACUCAAAUGAAUUGACGGGGACCCGCACAAGUAGUGGAGCAUGUGGUUUAAUUCGAAGAUACGCGCAGAACCUUACCAACACUUGACAUGUUCGUCGCGACUCUAAGAGAUUAGAGUUUUCGGUUCGGCCGGACGAAACACAGGUGCUGCAUGGCUGUCGUCAGCUCGUGUCGUGAGAUGUUGGGUUAAGUCCCGCAACGAGCGCAACCCUCACUUUUAGUUGCCAUCAUUAAGUUGGGCACUCUGGAAGAACUGCCAGUGAUAAGCUGGAGGAAGGUGGGGAUGACGUCAAGUCCUCAUGGCCCUUACGUGUUGGGCUACACACGUGCUACAAUGGUAUCUACAACAGGAAGCAAGACUGCGAAGUUAAGCAAAUCCCUAAAAGAUACCUCAGUUCGGAUUGCACUCUGCAACUCGAGUGCAUGAAGCUGGAAUUACUAGUAAUCGUGGAUCAGCGUGCCACGGUGAAUGCGUUCCCGGGUCU
rnacentral:rRNA from 1 species